GGGCGUGUAGCGCAGUUGGUAGCGCGUCUGCCUUGCAAGCAGAAGGUUACUGGUUCAAAUCCUGUCUCGUCCA
rnacentral:tRNA from 1 species